rnacentral:rRNA from 1 species
UACGAAGGGGGCUAGCGUUGCUCGGAAUCACUGGGCGUAAAGCGCACGUAGGCGGAUCGUUAAGUCAGGGGUGAAAUCCUGGAGCUCAACUCCAGAACUGCCUUUGAUACUGAGGAUCUUGAGUUCGGGAGAGGUGAGUGGAACUGCGAGUGUAGAGGUGAAAUUCGUAGAUAUUCGCAAGAACACCAGUGGCGAAGGCGGCUCAGUGGCCCGAUACUGACGCUGAGGCACGAAAGCGUGGGGAGCAAACAGG